ensembl:miRNA gmo-mir-7132a gmo-mir-7132a
GACUUGGUCAAAGCUCCUCAGUACAGCAACAACUCUGAGGCGUUUGGAACAAGUUCA